AACGAACGCUGGCGGCAGGCUUAACACAUGCAAGUCGAACGCCCCGCAAGGGGAGUGGCAGACGGGUGAGUAACACGUGGGAACAUGCCCAAAGGUACGGAACAACUCCGGGAAACUGGAGCUAAUACCGUAUGUGUCCGUAAGGAGAAAGAUUUAUCGCCUUUGGAUUGGCCCGCGUCGGAUUAGCUAGUUGGUGGGGUAAAAGCCUACCAAGGCGACGAUCCGUAGCUGGUUUGAGAGAACGACCAGCCACACUGGGACUGAGACACGGCCCAGACUCCUACGGGAGGCAGCAGUGGGGAAUCUUGGACAAUGGGCGCAAGCCUGAUCCAGCCAUGCCGCGUGGAUGAUGAAGGCCUUAGGGUUGUAAAAUCCUUUCGUUGGGGACGAUAAUGACGGUACCCAAAGAAGAAGCUCCGGCUAACUUCGUGCCAGCAGCCGCGGUAAGAC
rnacentral:rRNA from 1 species